GGUUGUCGUAAUAGGGUUUUAUCAUGUGAAUACACACUUGAAAGUUGAUCUUUUAAAAGCUAGAUCAACGUUUAAGGAUCUUUUUGUUUUUAGUUAAUCAAACAUAAAAUCCAGUGAAUGUGUUCACUGUUAAAAUCUAUAUCUUAUUACUAUAUAUCCUAGAUACCAGUUUAUGAAGAAUAUAGACUGAUGGACCCCAUGAACAGGAAGGGUAAUAUUAACUGUUCCAAUCAGUUUGUUAACAAUUAGGCAUUAUUCUCAGAGGAUUGAUAGAUACCUCGACAUUUUCUCUGAAGAUUAAAAAAGGGAUUUGACGAACUUAUUUCUAGUUGCUGUCCUGUUGACAUUGUUAAACUAUCAGACAAGGAAAACACUUCAUUUAUACUUUACUCUGGUGAUAUACUUAUGGCGACUAAUGGACUGAAGAAGUUUACUCUUCUCAUGGAAUUUAAAAUCUGUUUUUCAAUACUGAUUCCAUUGGAAUAAAGAACUUACCAGUGAUUAAAUAUUCAUCAUUGAAAGUUUUGAAAGAAUCGAUUUGGAACAAUGAAAAAGAGCUCUGAAAAAAGUGAAAUAAGUUUGGAUCUAUCCAAGCUAAGCGACAGGAGUGAAGAUAUUUUGAAGUAUCCACGAAACCGCUGGCCUCGAGAUUAUUCGUUUUCGUCGUCUGCGACACGCACUCGACGAUCAUCAUCUGCUGCCAGCGCAAGUAGACGCGAAAAUCGCCUUAUGUCGAUUUCCGAGAACAGGAAAUUGGGAACAUUUCCAUCGGUUACGUCUCUCUCGAAAAGUCCCGCCGGAUUCUGUUUCACUACGAUCCGAAAUCCUACGAGGUUAACCAAAAGUGCCAUGUCUGACCACAGUUCUAUACCGAAUUGCCAACAGAACACAAAGCAAAUUAUACAUAGUUUGUACGAAAUUUGGAUCCCGCAGCUGAGCUUGAACUACAGACCUUUCGUCCAUUAUGUGCCACCCCGGAGUCGAACGACUUCGGUCAGUUCUGAACAAUCGUCAGUGUCCAGAAACUCUACGGACAGAGCUAAAGUUAUUGAAUCGGUCAUCGAGUUGUGCAACUUUAAUAUGUCUCGCCGUAGGAGCAGCGUUGUGGGAGGAAUAAAAUGAUAUUUGCCGUUAAUGGUAAUAUAUUUUGUAUUGUAAAUUGUAUUAUAUUUGUUCCAUUUUUGGAAGUGGUUUACUUGACUUGUUCAUUUCAUAACUGAACUAUGCAUGCCAUUUGAAAAGAAAUAAACUUAUCUAUACAAGUAUUUUUAA